rnacentral:rRNA from 1 species
AACGGUAGCUAAUACCGCAUAACGUCGCAAGACCAAAGAGGGGGACCUUCGGGCCUCUUGCCAUCAGAUGUGCCCAGAUGGGAUUAGCUUGUUGGUGGGGUAACGGCUCACCAAGGCGACGAUCCCUAGCUGGUCUGAGAGGAUGACCAGCCACACUGGAACUGAGACACGGUCCAGACUCCUACGGGAGGCAGCAGUGGGGAAUAUUGCACAAUGGGCGCAAGCCUGAUGCAGCCAUGCCGCGUGUAUGAAGAAGGCCUUCGGGUUGUAAAGUA